UGAACGGCAGGCCGCGGCGUCAUGCUCUAUGUUACAUCUGCUGCGCUGGCAGCGGCAGCUGCCGCAAGUCAAGGACCUUGCUUCUUGACGCUUGCUCACCGCCACCAUCUCAGUUGAUUAGCGACGCCAGGCCACAAAGCAGGCCUCGGCAUUGCUCUGGUGGCAGCCGCCGCUAUGGACUCCGGACUCCGCUUGCUCCCCUGCCGCCCACAGCCAUCCCCUCAGAGGACACACACGGCAGCAGGCGGCUGCCUCCUGCAGGGCCAGGCUCUCUCUUGCUAGGAAAGAAAAAAACAAAAAACAAAUAAAAACGUGCUCCAUGCACUUCAGUUCCACCCGUCGCUUCCGCUCGUGGUCCAGGAUCUCCCGGUGGGCUUUCUUCACCAAGCCGGGCUCCACCACCCGCCCCUCCUCCUCCGGCUUGUGCCACGUGCCCGAGGCGCUGGGCUGGGAGAAGCCGUUCGACAACGCCUCCUGUGGCGAGGGCAUCUUGGCGCCGUUGUUGCAGGCAGACAUCCAGGAGGGGGCUUCGCGUGGCCAGGCCUGGCCGUGGUCCCUGCCAGGAACAGAGAGGAGGGGAGGAGGGUUAAAGGUAUCUCACUCAGUCCUCAGAUAGAGAGAAGACAGCAGACUUUUUAAAAUAAAUAAAUAAAUAAAAAGAGAUGUUAAAACAUAAUGUUUUUAUGUUUUAAAAUGUUUUGUAUUGAAGAGUUUCGUAUAUAUCAAUCAAUCAAUUUAUUUAUUUCGGUCAUAUACCAGUACAAGGGUUUCGUAUAUAAAAUGUUUUGUAUCUGCUGUAUUUUGUAUGUUUUGUGUUAUGAUUUGUUUGUUGUGUUUUAGGUGUUUCAGUGGAAUGCAUUUUUAAUGUUGUGAGCUGUGCUGUCCAGAGAACAAUUUGUGAUGGGGCAGCUAGCAAAUAAAGUUGCUUUUCUUAUUCUUA